CCUACGGGAGGCAGCAGUGGGGAAUCUUGCGCAAUGGGCGAAAGCCUGACGCAGCAACGCCGCGUGCGGGAAGAAGGCUUUCGGGCUGUAAACCGCUUUCAGCAGGAACGAAAAUGACGGUACCUGCAGAAGAAGGAGCGGCCAACUAUGUGCCAGCAGCCGCGGUGAUACAUAGGCUUCAAGCGUUGUCCGGAUUUAUUGGGCGUAAAGAGUUCGUAGGCGGUCAAGUAAGUCGGGUGUGAAAAUUCUGGGCUCAACCCAGAGACGCCACCCGAUACUGCUUAACUUGAGUUCGAUAGGGGAGUGGGGAAUUCCUAGUGUAGCGGUGAAAUGCGCAGAUAUUAGGAGGAACACCGGUGGCGAAGGCGCCACUCUGGAUCGAUACUGACGCUGAGGAACGAAAAGCAUGGGUAGCAAACAGGAUUAGAUACCCUGGUAGUCCAUGCCGUAAAACGGUGGGCACUAGGUGUGGGUUUCUAUUAACGAAAAUCCGCGCCGUCGCUAAACGCAUUAAGUGCCCCGCCUGGGGAGUACGGUCGCAAGACUAAAAACUCAAAAGGAAAUUAGAACGG
rnacentral:rRNA from 1 species